GGAGUGUGUGAUGGACUCACCUCCACGUGGUGCACCCUGGGCAACGUAUUCUCAUACGGCAAAAAAGUCUAU
rnacentral:ribozyme from 1 species